rnacentral:ncRNA from 1 species
GCUAUGGUAAUCCUGUUUAGUACGAGAGGAACCGCAGGUUCAGAUAAUUGGUAUAUGUGCCUGGUCGAAAGGCCAAUGGUGCGAAGCUACCAUCUGCCCCCAAAUGCCCUGGUAAAGCCCCAAAAUGC